CGAUGAGUGCCGGGUCCGUGUGAGCAUCCUAAUGGAGAGCUUCAAACAGAUCAAAAGCAGGCCCGGUUAUGGCAAGUGCCUGGCCAACAAGAGCAUCACGGUUAGAAAGAGCGCCGGCAGUGAUGUUUUGGCAACCCGGUUUAUAUUCCACCGUAAAGUCGAACCCCAACAGCUUGUCCACCCAAUGAUGAUGUGGAAUGGUAGCGAGGCAUUGAGCCAGCAAAAACUUUAGGAUGCAGUGGUCAGUUUUGACGACGAUUGCACGUCCCCAAAG
rnacentral:lncRNA from 1 species